AGCGAACGCUGGCGGCAGGCCUAACACAUGCAAGUCGAACGAACCUUUCGGGGUUAGUGGCGGACGGGUGAGUAACACGUGGGAACGUGCCUUUAGGUUCGGAAUAACUCAGGGAAACUUGUGCUAAUACCGAAUGUGCCCUUCGGGGGAAAGAUUUAUCGCCUUUAGAGCGGCCCGCGUCUGAUUAGCUAGUUGGUUGAGGUAAUGGCUCACCUAGGCGACGAUCAGUAGCUGGUCUGAGAGGAUGAUCAGCCACAUUGGGACUGAGACACGGCCCAAACUCCUACGGGAGGCAGCAGUGGGGAAUCUUGCGCAAUGGGCGAAAGCCUGACGCAGCCAUGCCGCGUGAAUGAUGAAGGUCUUAGGAUUGUAAAAUUCUUUCACCGGGGACGAUAAUGACGGUACCCGGAGAAGAAGCCCCGGCUAACUUCGUG
rnacentral:rRNA from 1 species